rnacentral:rRNA from 1 species
AACAAACGCUGGCGGCGUGCCUAACACAUGCAAGUCGUACGAGAAAGGGUCCUUCGGGGCCUGAGUAAAGUGGCGCACGGGUGAGUAACGCGUGGAUAAUCUGCCCUUCAGUUGGGAAUAACUCAUCGAAAGGUGGGCUAAUACCGAAUAAUGCUGUGAGACCUCGGUUGAUCAGCCAAAGAGAGCCUCUGCUUGCAAGCCCUCGCUGAAGGAUGAGUCCGCGUACCAUUAGCUAGUUGGUAGGGUAAUGGCCUACCAAGGCGACGAUGGUUAGCUGGUCUGAGAGGAUGAUCAGCACAACUGGAACUGAGACACGGUCCAGACUCCUACGGGAGGCAGCAGUGAGGAAUCUUGCGCAAUGGGGGCAACCCUGACGCAGCAACGCCGCGUGAGUGAGGAAGGUCUUCGGAUCGUAAAGCUCUGUCGGAUGGAAAGAACCGCAUAGGGGUAAACAGCCCCUGUGUCUGACGGUACCAUCAAAGGAAGCACCGGCUAACUCCGUGCCAGCCGCCGCCGUAAGAC